rnacentral:rRNA from 1 species
UGCAAGUCGAGCGAUUCUCUUCGGAGAAGAGCGGCGGACGGGUGAGUAACGCGUGGGUAACCUGCCCUGUACACACGGAUAACAUACCGAAAGGUAUGCUAAUACGAGAUAAUAUGCUUUUAUCGCAUGGUAGAAGUAUCAAAGCUUUUGCGGUACAGGAUGGACCCGCGUCUGAUUAGCUAGUUGGUAAGGUAACGGCUUACCAAGGCGACGAUCAGUAGCCGACCUGAGAGGGUGAUCGGCCACAUUGGAACUGAGACACGGUCCAAACUCC